CCGCACAAGCGGUGGAGCAUGUGGUUAAUUCGAAGCGAACGCGAAGACCUUACCAGGUCUUGACAUCCCGAUGCUAUUUCUAGAGAUAGAAAGUACUUCGGUACAUCGGUGACAGGUGGUGCAUGGUUGUCGUCAGCUCGUGUCGUGAGAUGUUGGGUUAAGUCCCGCAACGAGCGCAACCCCUAUUGUUAGUUGCCAUCAUUCAGUUGGGCACUCUAGCGAGACUGCCGGUAAUAAACCGGAGGAAGGUGGGGAUGACGUCAAAUCAUCAUGCCCCUUAUGACCUGGGCUACACACGUGCUACAAUGGUUGGUACAACGAGUUGCGAGUCGGUGACGGCGAGCUAAUCUCUUAAAGCCAAUCUCAGUUCGGAUUGUAGGCUGCAACUCGCCUACAUGAAGUCGGAAUCGCUAGUAAUCGCGGAUCAGCACGCCGCGGUGAAUACGUUCCCGGGCCUUU
rnacentral:rRNA from 1 species